AUGAAAGUACUUCGGCAUGCUGUCAUCUUUAUAUGGAGGGUAACACUAGUUUUCACCUCAAACUUGUCAACAACCAUAGCAAAAGCAACAUUGAUGCACUCUCUAAUUAACCACACCUCUAAGCCGUGGGAUAGAAUCAGCAUAGCUAGUGAUGGGCCGAGUGGCCUUCUGCUAUGGUGGCAGAUAGUCGACCAAUCCAACUGUGUUGCUGCCAAGAAAAACAGGGCAGACUAUGCAUGUAUCAGUGAGCAUGCCGAGUGCUUUGACGGAAGCCAUGGCUACAACUGCAUGUGCAGCAUUGGCUAUACAGGCAACCCCUACUUUCCAGAUGGUUGCUCCAAGCUCGACAACAGAGGGUAUAAUCCAAUUCCGAGCAGGGCUGAUUGCACCCGUUGGUGUGGUAACGUUAGUGUGCAAUUCCCAUUUGGCUUAGAAGAGGGUUGCUUUGCAAGUGAAGAUUUUCACCUCAACUGCACAAAUACGACGUCAUCAGCUGCCCUGAUUUUGUUGGAGGCGAAACAGGUCAUCGGCAUAAAUAUUGAUGAAGGGACCGUUAACAUCACCAGUCUUGACCAACAGGGCAUAUACAGCAUGACUGAAAAUUUUGUGUUUCCUAUUCCUGGGUCAUUCUCCUCUGCGCAAUGGGUUGCUGCUAAUCUAAGUUGUUUAGAGGCCCAGCAGAAUAGCUCUAGAUAUGCUUGCGUGAGUAUCAACAGCAAGUGCGUGGAAGUAAGUGUUAAAGAUCUCGAUUCUGUUCAUAGAGUAUAUGUUGGUUACCGUUGCAAAUGCUCAGAUGGCUUCCAAGGAAAUCCAUACAUCCAAACCGGUUGUCAAGAUAUCAAUGAAUGCCUACAACCGAACAAAUGUAAAGGGAUCUGUCAUAAUACCAAAGGAAGUUUUAGUUGUAUUGAAUGUCCUCGCAAGACUGAGUAUGAUCCACUAAAAAUGCAGUGUACUAAGAGGCAACAACCUCUGAUCUUAGGUAUAAUUAUUGGGUUGUCUUGUGGUUUCGGCAUUCUAUUUCUGAGCUUCAGUGCAGCACUUCUCAUUCGUAGAUGGAAACGAAAUGUUCAAAAGCAACUACGGAAGAACUAUUUCCGGAAGAACCAAGGUCUUCUACUAGAAACGUUGAUAUCAUCGGAUGAAACUGCAAAUGAGAAUACUAAGAUUUUCCCGCUAGAAGAGCUGGAGAAGGCAACAAACAACUUUGAUCCUAAACGCAUCAUCGGCCAUGGGGGGCAUGGCAUGGUUUACAAAGGAAUAUUAUCUGAUCAGCGUGUCGUUGCAAUAAAAAAGUCUAAGAUCAUUGAGCAGUGUGAGAUCAGUCAAUUCAUCAAUGAGGUUGCAUUCCUCUCUUAG
rnacentral:rRNA from 1 species